rnacentral:rRNA from 1 species
ACUUGUACCGACUGGAUGAGCAGCGAACGGGUGAGUAACGCGUGGGGAAUCUGCCUUUGAGCGGGGGACAACAUUUGGAAACGAAUGCUAAUACCGCAUAAAAACUUUAAACACAAGUUUUAAGUUUGAAAGAUGCAAUUGCAUCACUCAAAGAUGAUCCCGCGUUGUAUUAGCUAGUUGGUGAGGUAAAGGCUCACCAAGGCGAUGAUACAUAGCCGACCUGAGAGGGUGAUCGGCCACAUUGGGACUGAGACACGGCCCAAACUCCUACGGGAGGCAGCAGUAGGGAAUCUUCGGCAAUGGACGAAAGUCUGACCGAGCAACGCCGCGUGAGUGAAGAAGGUUUUCGGAUCGUAAAACUCUGUUGGUAGAGAAGAACGUUGGUGAGAGUGGAAAGCUCAUCAAGUGACGGUAACUACCCAGAAAGGGACGGCUAACUACGUGCCAGCAGCCGCGGUAAUACGUAGGUCCCGAGCGUUGUCCGGAUUUAUUGGGCGUAAAGCGAGCGCAGGUGGUUUAUUAAGUCUGGUGUAAAAGGCAGUGGCUCAACCAUUGUAUGCAUUGGAAACUGGUAGACUUGAGUGCAGGAGAGGAGAGUGGAAUUCCAUGGGUAAGCGGGUGUGGGAAAAC